AUUGAACGCUGGCGGCAGGCCUAGCACAUGCCAGUCGAGCGGAUGAAGGGAGCUUGCUCCUGGAUUCAGCGGCGGACGGGUGAGUAAUGCCUAGGAAUCUGCCUGGUAGUGGGGGAUAACGUCCGGAAACGGGCGCUAAUACCGCAUACGUCCUGAGGGAGAAAGUGGGGGAUCUUCGGACCUCACGCUAUCGGAUGAGCCUAGGUCGGAUUAGCUAGUUGGUGGGGUAAAGGCCUACCAAGGCGACGAUCCGUAACUGGUCUGAGAGGAUGAUCAGUCACACUGGAACUGAGACACGGUCCAGACUCCUACGGGAGGCAGCAGUGGGGAAUAUUGGACAAUGGGCGAAAGCCUGAUCCAGCCAUGCCGCGUGUGUGAAGAAGGUCUUCGGAUUGUAAAGCACUUUAAGUUGGGAGGAAGGGCAGUAAGUUAAUACCUUGCUGUUUUGACGUUACCAACAGAAUAAGCACCGGCUAACUUCGUG
rnacentral:rRNA from 1 species